UACGUAGGGGGCAAGCGUUGUCCGGAUUUAUUGGGCGUAAAGAGCGUGUAGGCGGCCAAGCAGGUCCGCUGUGAAAACUCGAGGCUCAACCUCGAGACGUCGGUGGAAACCGUUUGGCUAGAGUCCGGAAGAGGAGAGUGGAAUUCCCGGUGUAGCGGUGAAAUGCGCAGAUAUCGGGAAGAACACCCGUGGCGAAGGCGGCUCUCUGGGACGGUACUGACGCUGAGACGGCGAAAGCGUGGGGAGCGAACAGG
rnacentral:rRNA from 1 species